UAGAGAGAGAAACUAUAGAGAGAAUUCUUCUUCUAUAAUCUUGAGAGUAUUUCUUUAGAGUUUAAGAAAGCUUUGAGCGUAGUAUAAGUUUCCUUCGAGUAUAUCCUCGCCCUACUAGUCGGAAUACUCUUCUUUGAAAGGUAAAGGGAUAUUAUUAUAGUAAGGGAUAUUAUUUGUUGUACCCGUAAGGGAUGUUAUUCUUUCUUAUUCAUGAAGAGAACUUCUGUUAUUUCAUUAUUUAUUAUUCUGUUGGAAUAACCUGUAUACGCGGCAUACCCUAUACAUGGUGAUCUUCUUUUGUUAUUCAAUUCUUUAUUAUUCUGUUGUAAUAACAUGUAUGCGCGGUUUACCCUAUACUUGGUGGAAUGACCUGUAUAUGCGGUUUACCCAAUACUUGGUGAUCUUCUUUUAUUAUUCCGUAUUUACUAUCCUGUCGGAAUAUCCUGUCGGUGUGAAUUUCACCUGACCUGGUUCCAUCAUUUAUUAUUCCGUAUUUACUAUUCUGUCUAAAUAUCCUGUCGGUGUGAAUUUCACCUGACCUGGUUCCAUCAUUUAUUAUUCCGUAUUUACGAUUCUGUCGGAAUAUCCUGUCGGUGUGAAUUUCACCUGACCUGGUUCCAUCAUUUAUUAUUCCGUAUUUAUUAUUCUGUUGAGAAUAACCUGUCUGUGCAGUCUCUAUCGCAUGCAUGGUGAAUGAUCCUUUGUAUUCAUUCCUUAUUAAAUUGUGGAAAUGAUCUGUAUACGUGGAUUACCGCAUGGCGGGUGAAAAUCCAUUUGCAGUUUCAUAUAUUCUUUAUUAUACUGUUGGUUAUUGGUUUUACAGUUGUAUGUCUUUGGCAUGUAGUGCAAAGAUGAUAUGUUGUUGAAUAUCUUUGGUCGGUAGUGCAAAGAUGAUAUGUUGUUUGAUAGCUUUGACCCGUAGUGCGAAGAUGGACAGGUGUAUGACAUGAUCAUGACCACUAGUGAUACUAACGAAUAUCCUUGGCCGUAGUGCAUGGAUAAUUCAAUGAUGUGAUUGGCAGGAUCAUGACCAUUAGUUAACAGUUGAAUGUCUUUAACCGUAGUGCACUGACAGGCAAUUGAUUGGUAUGAUCAUGACCAUUGAUUUUAUAGUUGAAUAUCUUUGGCCCGUAGUGCAAAGAUAGACAACUGAUUGGUAUGAUCAUUGUUAUUACAUUUGAAUAUCUUCAGCCUUUGGGGUAAGGAUAUUGAGUAAACGUUCUAUUAAGCCUUUGUGGCAAGAAGGAACUGUUAAAUUCACAUUAUUUAUGAAUUGUGAACUUAAUUAUAAUCUUUAGUGGUUCAGGUGAAGACAGCUGAUGAAAGUUCUCUUUGUUUUGGUUAUAACGAAGAACUGUUGAUGAGUAUUACAGGAAUGAAAUAUUAACGAUGGACUUUUAAUUUGGAGGAGAUAGUAGACAUUAUGUUCUACUUGACUCUUCUAAUGGAUUGCUCGUUCCGCUGCAACUAUGGUUGAAAAGUUUUAUCAUUUACCAUAUGUUCUAAAUCUCUGAUUUAUUAUUGAUUAAAGCUAUUGAUAAUGUAAUUAUCUUUAGUCAUGAUAUUCUUUACUGGGCUAGUUGUGCUCACCCUUUUGCUUCACAAUUCCUUUCAGGUAAUAAGAGUGUAGCUGGGUCGAGCGGGGAUAACAGGGAAAUAGUGAGAUGGUUCGAGACUGUCGAAGUUUCUCAAUACAUUAUAAAACGGCAUAACAUGCAACAGAUAAUUGUAU
rnacentral:lncRNA from 1 species